rnacentral:rRNA from 1 species
ACCUACGGGACGCAGCAGUGAGGAAUAUUGGUCAAUGGUCGGGAGACUGAACCAGCCAAGCCGCGUGAGGGAGGAAGGUACAGAGUAUCGUAAACCUCUUUUGUCAGGGAACAAAGGCGGGGACGUGUCCCCGGAUGAGUGUACCUGAAGAAAAAGCAUCGGCUAACUCCGUGCCAGCAGCCGCGGUAAUACGGAGGAUGCGAGCGUUAUCCGGAUUUAUUGGGUUUAAAGGGUGCGCAGGCGGUCUGUUAAGUCAGCGGUCAAAGCCCGGGGCUCAAACCCGGCCCGCCGUUGAAAAUGGCAGG